rnacentral:RNase_P_RNA from 1 species
ACUGCGGGCUACUCCAUCGCUCCGGCUCUCGUGCCGGGGAGGAAAGUCCGGACAACGUAGAGCACCACACCACCUAACGGGUGGGUUCCCGCUUCGGCGGGAAACAGAGAGUGUCGCAGAAAAUAACCGUCCCGAUUCAUCGGGAUAAGGGUGAAAACGUGCGGUAAGAGCGCACGGUGUCCCGGAGCAAUUCGGGAGACGGAUAAACCUUGUGGGUUGAAAUGCCACGUACAUCCCGAUUCCUGCAAAGCGCCUUUUGUGGCGCAAGCGGGAGAUGAGUUGCUCGCUCAGUUCGCCACCCGGCGAGUCGGGAGGGGUAGGCAGAUAGAGGCCGGUGGCGACGCCGGUCCCAGAUAAAUGAUGGAGUCCCGGCUUGCAGGGAUACAGAAUCCGGCUUAUCGGUCCGCAGUGCAU